rnacentral:lncRNA from 1 species
UUCACUCAUGUUUUACACUUUGAGUCGGGUUGUACUGUUGGUUAGGCCCAAUAUUUUCUUUAUUAGGUUUCUCAAAUAUGCUUCCUUUCUCUCUUUUGCCGUAUGUUAGAUAUUUUCUGUAAGAGGCUUUUGAAAUGUAGUGCCAUACCCAAUGCCUUCCAAAUUAACCCUAAUUUUCUUUCUCGAAAAGAGGUGAGUACAACACAUUUUCUUCCUCCCUCUGCGAUUUGUGGUGGCUUUCUUCAUACGAGUGAAGUUGCUCAUUUUUUGUUCGUUCUUGAGAGCUUGCAAUGCACUCGGAGAUAAUAGAGAAGAUAAAGAAUUACCUACUUUCUGGGGCAUUUCCAGUAGAAAUUCAGGAGUGCUAUAGUAAAAUCUUAAGCUUUUCAACUGUUCUUCAUUUUAAUGAACUCAUCAGCUGACAAAAAAUUAAACACAGAAAUGGAGUCGACCCUGAAGGUUACUUUCCACUCUUAAAUUUCUACAUUUUUAAUUUCUCUCUUUUUUUCCUUUAAGUUUCUUAACUAUUUUAUUAUUUUUAGUACAUAAAUGUUUUGGAUUUUCUCUUACCUAUGGCGAUGAUCCCUCUGAAGAUGAUGAAGACGAUGAAGAAGAAGCGCGUCAGAUGUUGAAAUAUGGAACGCAAAUAAUGCAUAAUCAGCUGCAUCGACCUGAUGAUCAGGAGCAUGAUAAUGGAGGGUAGAAACGUCAAAUUGAGGACCAUUUUUUGUUGCAUAGCAUUUUCUCCAUCUGUUAUUUUGUUGUAUAGCACGUGCUUUCAGCUAACUUGUAUAGUCUUCUGGAUCCUUCUUAUUCAUUGUAUAUAUAUGUGCAAGACUGAGCAAUUGAAAUCAUCAAGUUCACAGUAAAAUAAUUCUUAUAAUAUUCAACUGGUUGUGUAGUUUUCUCUUUUGCAAAGGAGCAUUUCAUUCCCUUAUUUUUCUUAUAUGGUAUCAAAGCCAUCGCCAUGGCUGACGAUCAAAGCUCAUCGAGGAAACAACAGACCCGAAUGGAAGUACUGAAUAAAAUUUCAACACCAACCCAAUGCCAAACAAUCAUCAUAUUCCAAAUUCUAAUGACCCUACUCAUCCCUGCAGACCCUAUUAAUUGAGGAAAAUGACCAUUCUGGUCCAAUACUAGUCACUCAUGUCCUUGACAAUACCAAUUACUCUGCUUGGGCAAGGUCUAUGAAGAUAGCACUUCGAAUCUAAAAUAAACUUGGCUUCAUUGAUGGAAGCAUUUGUGAGCCAGCAGAUUCCAACAAAUUUUUGAUCGAACACUGGUUACGUUGCAAUGAUAUAGUAAUUGCUUGGUUGCAGAACACUAUUUCCGUUGAUAUUAAGCCUCGCACACUUUAUGCUGAAACGACUCAUGAGCUCUGGUUGGACUUGGAGCAUCAGCUAGGAUAGCAGAAUGCCCCACAAAUUUAUGAGGUAAAAUAGUACAUUGCUACCUUAAUGCAAAAUGAUGACAUUGUAAGUGUAUAUUUCUCCAAAUAUAAGACACUUCUUGAUAGAUUGAUGAAUUAUGAGUCCAUUCCCAUCUGCACUUUUGGAGGUUUCAAAUCUGUCAUUGAGAACCAACAAAGAGAUUGGGUAAUGAAGUUUUUAACGGGGUUAAAUGACUCAUUUAAAGCAAUCAAGGCACAAGUCCUGCUGAUCAAGCCUUUCCCCAUUCUAAACGAGGCGUAUUCUAUAAUUCAGCAAGAAGAGAAAAGAAGACAAAUCUCAAUAGACACUUCUAUACCUGACUCUAUGGCACUUGCAACUGGAGGAAGCUUCUGUAAUGCAGCAGUGCAAAAUGGGAUGGGACAGAGAAAAUAUUAUUGUACUCUUUGCAAAAUACCUGGACAUUCACUAGAAAGAUGCACUAAGGCCAAUCCUAACAGGACACUCCAUUGACAAAUGCUAUAAGAUUCAUGGAUAUCCCCCGUAGCACAGGUUGUAUGGAAAAGGAAAAGGCCUAUGCAGACCUAGUUUCCUUGCAGGGACAAGGAGAAGUUAACAAUGAGAAUCAGGUGAUAUUCACUCAGGAGCAACAUGCACAACUCUUAGCACUACUGCAGUUACAAAACAGCAAAUGCCUUACUAGCACAAUCCCAGCAGACACAAACUCCCAACCUUUUUGGUAUAUCAUCUUCUCUAUUAGCUUAUGGCAUCAAACAUAUUAAGGACCAUAGCACACCAUAGAUAAUAGAUACAAGAGAAAUAGACCACAUGGUCUGUUGCACCUCAUUCUAUAGCAAUAUUCUAGCCAAAGUGUUCUAUUCAGUCAUCCUUCCAAACGGUGAUCCAAUUAAUGUAACACACACAGGAAUUGUAAAAAUCACAUAGAAGAUAAUUCUAAACAAUGUACUUUGUGUUCCAUCAUUUGCAUUCAAUCCAAUAUUUGCUAGAAAAUUGACAGAAACCUCCAAAUGCUGUCUAAUAUUUUUUCCUGAAAAAAUGCUUUGUGCAGGACCUUUUGACUUGGAAAAUGACUGGAAUGGGUGAAGUGAGGCAAUGACUAUAUCACCUGUUACGAUCCAAAGUCUCUCCUUCAGUCUUAACAGAAGCUCUUGCUUUUAUUACAAACAAAACCUCUAUGUCAGUAGCCACUCUUAGCAACAAUAAAGAUUUUGAUCUCUGGUACCAUAGGCUGGGACAUCCAUUCCAUUCUAGAUUAGAUCUAUUGAAUAUCAAUUGCAGUCCUAAGCUUGUCAAGGAAACCUGUUCUAUCUAUCCCAUGGCCAAAAUGCAUAAAUUACCAUUUUUAGUCAGUUAUCACAAAUAUAAGAAAAUUUCUGAUCUUGCAUUGAAACUAGUUAUGAUGGAUCUAAAUAUUUAUUAUCCAUAGUUGAUGAUUUUAGCAUGUGCACUUGGGUUUAUAUGUUAAAGCUAAAGUAGAUGCUACUGCAGCUUUGCAAGGUUUUUGUGCCUUAAUAAACACUCAAUUCCAGUCAAAGUAAAGGUAAUUAGGACAGACAAUGGAUGGGAAUUUGAAA